AUUGAACGCUGGCGGCAGGCCUAACACAUGCAAGUCGAACGAGUGGCGGACGGGUGAGUAAUGUCUGGGAAACUGCCUGAUGGAGGGGGAUAACUACUGGAAACGGUAGCUAAUACCGCAUACCAUCAGAUGUGCCCAGAUGGGAUUAGCUUGUUGGUGGUGUAACGGCGCACCAAGGCGCCGAUCCCUAGCUGGUCUGAGAGGGUGACCAGCCACACUUGAACCGAGACACGGUCCAGACUCCGACGGGAGGCAGCAGUGGGGAAUAUUGGCCAAUGGGCGCAAGCCUGAUGCAGCCAUGCCGCGUGUAAGAAGAAGGCCGUCGGGGUGUAAAGUACUUUCAGCGGGGAGGCGUUACCCGCAGAAGAAGCACCGGCUAACUCCGUGCCAGCCGCCGCGGUAAUAC
rnacentral:rRNA from 1 species